rnacentral:rRNA from 1 species
GUGAAGCGGGAAAAGCUCAAAUUUAAAAUCUGGCGGUCUCUGGCCGUCCGAGUUGUAAUCUAGAGAAGUAAUGCCCGUGCUGGACCGUGUAUAAGUCUCCUGGGAUGGGGCGUCAUAGAGGGUGAGAAUCCCGUCUUUGACACGGACUACCAGUGCAUUGUGGUAUGCUCUCAAAGAGUCGAGUUGUUUGGGAAUGCAGCUCAAAAUGGGUGGUAAAUUCCAUCUAAAGCUAAAUAUUGGCGAGAGACCGAUAGCGAACAAGUACCGUGAGGGAAAGAUGAAAAGAACUUUGGAAAGAGAGUUAAACAGUACGUGAAAUUGCUGAAAGGGAAACGCUUGAAGUCAGUCGCGUUGGCCGGGGAUCAGCCUUGCUUUUGCAUGGUGUACUUUCUGGUUGACGGGUCAGCAUCAAUUUUGACCGCUGGAAAAAGACCUGGGGAAUGUGGCAGCUUCGGCUGUGUUAUAGCCCCUAGUCGCAUACAGUGGUUGGGAUUGAGGAACUCAGCACGCCGCAAGGCCGGGUUUCGACCACGUUCGUGCUUAGGAUGCUGGCAUAAUGGCUUUAAGCGACCCGUCUUGAAACACGGACCAAGGAGUCUAACAUGCCUGCGAGUAUUUGGGUGGAAAACCCAAGUGCGUAAUGAAAGUGAAAGUUGAGAUCCCUGUCGUGGGGAGCAUCGACGCCCGGACCAGAACUUUUGGGACGGAUCCGCGGUGGAGCAUGUAUGUUGGGACCCGAAAGAUGGUGAACUAUGCCUGAAUAGGGUGAAGCCAGAGGAAACUCUGGUGGAGGCUCGUAGCGAUUCUGACGUGCAAAUCGAUCGUCAAAUUUGGGUAUAGGGGCGAAAGACU